CAGCAGCCGCGGUAAUACAGAGGGUGCGAGCGUUAAUCGGAUUUACUGGGCGUAAAGCGUGCGUAGGCGGCUUCUUAAGUCGGAUGUGAAAUCCCUGAGCUUAACUUAGGAAUUGCAUUCGAUACUGGGAAGCUAGAGUAUGGGAGAGGGUAGUGGAAUUUCCGGUGUAGCGGUGAAAUGCGUAGAGAUCGGAAGGAACACCAGUGGCGAAGGCGGCUACCUGGCCUAAUACUGACACUGAGGCACGAAAGCGUGGGGAGCAAACAGGAUUAGAUACCCCUGUAGUCCCUGUCUCUUAUAC
rnacentral:rRNA from 1 species